rnacentral:rRNA from 1 species
ACAGAGGUGGCAAGUGUUGUUCGGAUUUACUGGGCGUAAAGGGUCCGCAGGCGGCUUUGUUUGUCAGAUGUGAAAUCCCACGGCUCAACCGUGGAAUUGCAUUUGAAACUACAGGGCUAGAGUACAGGAGAGGAGAGGGGAAUUCAUGGUGUAGCGGUGAAAUGCGUAGAUAUCAGGAAGAACACCGGUGGCGAAAGCGCCUCUCUGGACUGAUACUGACGCUCAUGGACGAAAGCCAGGGGAGCAAAGAG